rnacentral:tRNA from 1 species
GCCUGAGUGGCUCAGUAGGUUAAGUGUCUGACAUCAGCUCAGGUCAUGAUCUCAUGGUUCAUGGGUUCAAGUCCCAUGUCAGGCU